rnacentral:rRNA from 1 species
AGAGUUUGAUCAUGGCUCAGAUUGAACGCUGGCGGUAUGCUUAACACAUGCAAGUCGAACGCGAAAGCACCUUCGGGUGUAAGUAGAGUGGCGGACGGGUGAGUAAGGCAUGGGAAUCUGCCCUAUAGCGGGGGAUAACUUGGGGAAACCCAAGCUAAUACCGCAUACACCUACGGGUAAAAGAUGGCCUCUUCUUGAAAGCUAUUACUAUAGGAUGAGCCCAUGUAAGAUUAGCUAGUUGGUAGGGUAAAAGCCUACCAAGGCUACGAUCUUUAGCUGGUCUGAGAGGACGAUCAGCCACACUGGGACUGAGACACGGCCCAGACUCCUACGGGAGGCAGCAGUGGGGAAUAUUGGACAAUGGGGGCAACCCUGAUCCAGCAAUACCGCGUGUGUGAAGAAGGCCUGCGGGUUGUAAAGCACUUUUAUCUGUGAGGAAGGGUUUAAUGUUAAUACCAUUAGGCAUUGACG